rnacentral:misc_RNA from 1 species
UUGACCCAUUUUUUUGGUGCUCAGAGAGACUGCUAGAUUCGGUGUUUUGGUCCCCCGGCGGGCCGGCCAGGCCGCGGGGGCCCCCUGGGGGGCGCCCGCCGAGGCAACUAGGAGGUAGGUUCACAGUGGGUUGGGAGUCUGGAGACUCGGUAAUGAUCCCUCCGCUGGUUCACCAACGGAGA